UUUCAAAUGCAAAAAAGUAUUUCUGCACUUGUACACACACUACUAAUGCAUUUAUUUUAUCUUUGCAGUUUGAUCAGCUUUACAGGGUUCCUUCUGGCAACCUCCUAGUGAUAGUUAGUGUAUGUGGCAGUGCAAAGAAUGCAGUUUGGAACUAGAUAGCAGGGAGCAUUAUGGUGGAUUUGAACUAACUGCCCCACCCACUAGAGAGGUUGCCCAAAUUGGAGUUUUCUGACCUUGAAGACCCAUAUCCCCUUGUGGA